CGGAGGGUGCAAGCGUUGUUCGGAUUUAUUGGGCGUAAAGGGCGUGUAGGCGGUCUCAUAAGUCCGAUGUGAAAGCCCUGGGCUCAACCCAGGAAGUGCAUUGGAAACUGUGAGACUUGAGUACGGGAGAGGGCAGUGGAAUUCCUAGUGUAGGAGUGAAAUCCGUAGAUAUUAGGAGGAACACCGGUGGCGAAGGCGGCUGCCUGGACCGAUACUGACGCUGAGACGCGAAAGCGUGGGGAGCAAACAGGAUUAGAUACCCUGGUAGUCCACGCCGUAAACGAUGAGCACUAGGUGUUGCGGGUAUUGACCCCUGCAGUGCCGCAGCUAACGCAUUAAGUGCUCCGCCUGGGAAGUACGGUCGCAAGACUA
rnacentral:rRNA from 1 species